CCAAUAGCGUAUAUUAAAGUUGCUGCGGUUAAAAAGCUCAUAGUUGAAUUUCGGAAUUGAUGCAUCGGUCGUGCCUUAAGGGGCAUGAACUGGUGUAGCCAAUUUCUCACCUUCUGGUGAAUUGUGAUGUUCUUAAUGGGUGUCUCAAUGAACUAGAAUUUUUUACUUUGAAAAAAUUAGAGUGUUUAAAGCAGGCAUUG
rnacentral:rRNA from 1 species